GGGGAUGUGGCUCAGUGGUAGAGUGCUUAGCAUGCCCAAGGCCCUGGAUUUAAUCCCUAGCAUCACCA
rnacentral:tRNA from 1 species